ensembl:processed_transcript
AUGUGGCAUCAUGUUAAAGGAGGAACAUGUGAGGUGAUCGCAGCACACCGAUGUUGCAACAAGAACCGUAUUGAGGAACGUUCCCAGACGGUCAAGUGUUCAUGUUUACCAGGAAAAGUGGCUGGCACGACACGAAACAAACCCUCCUGUGUAGACGCCUCCAUUGUGAUUGGGAAGUGGUGGUGUGAGAUGGAGCCAUGUCUGGAGGGAGAAGAGUGCAAGACGCUACCAGACAACUCCGGCUGGAUGUGUUCCUCUGGGAAUAAGAUCAAGACCACGAGGGUGGCAAUGUUUCUUAAAAACAAAACACUAUGCGCCUAUACUCAUUUGGUCCUGUAG